rnacentral:lncRNA from 1 species
CAAAUUUAAAAAGAAAGAAACAUACAAGAAAUACAUAAAUCAUACCGUAUGACAAUAGCCUGGAAGAUUGCAUGGGAGGAUCUUUGUGUUUUCUGUAAAGGAAAAGAAAAAUGGAAUUUCCAUGCCUUGCAUCAGAACUUGACAGCUGGGGUUAUUGUAUAGUGGGCACCAAAAAUGAGGGAUGUUCAUCAGGAAUACUUUUGCCUGAAUACGCAUAAUUCCAUGGAGGAUGACCACAUUUUUCUCUGGUGAUGGCCUUAUGAUUGCACAUAAUUUAAGCAUGAAUCUAACCCACAUUUUAUCUAAGAAAUUAUUUUUUUAUAUUUAAUUUUUUUAAUGUUUAUUUAUUUUUGAGAGAGACACAGACAGAGACAGAGAGAGAGAGCAGGGGAGGGGCAGAGAGAGGGAGACACAGAAUCCAAAGCAGGCUCCAGGCUCCGAGCUGUCAGCACAGAGCCCUACGUGGGGCUUGAACUCAUGAAUCACAAGAUCAUGACCUGAGCCGAAGUCAGACACUUAACCUACUGUGCCACCCAGGCGCCCCUUGCCUAAGAAAUUCUUAAUCAUGAACAUUUCUUCUUCAUAAAAAAAUGGUUCCUUACAA